rnacentral:rRNA from 1 species
GACGAACGCUGGCGGCGUGCCUAAUACAUGCAAGUAGAACGCUGAAGAGAGGAGCUUGCUCUUCUUGGAUGAGUUGCGAACGGGUGAGUAACGCGUAGGUAACCUGCCUGGUAGCGGGGGAUAACUAUUGGAAACGAUAGCUAAUACCGCAUAAGAGUAGAUGUUGCAUGACAUUUGCUUAAAAGGUGCAAAUGCAUCACUACCAGAUGGACCUGCGUUGUAUUAGCUAGUUGGUGAGGUAACGGCCCACCAAGGCAACGAUGGGUAGCCGGCCUGAGAGGGUGAACGGCCACAUUGGAACUGAGAAACGGUCCAAACUCCUACGGGAGGCAGCAGUGGGGAAUAUUGCACAAUGGGGGAAACCCUGAUGCAGCGACGCCGCGUGAGCGAAGAAGGCCUUCGGGUCGUAAAGCUCUUUUAUAUGGGAAGAUAAUGACGGUACCAUAAGAAAAAGCCCCGGCUAACUACGUGCCAGCAGCCGCGGUAAUACGUAGGGGGCUAGCGUUGUCCGGAAUCACUGGGCGUAAAGGGUUCGCAGGCGGCAAUGCAAGUCAGAUGUAAAAGGCAAAGGCUCAACCUUUGUAAGCAUCUGAAACUGUAUAGCUUGAGAAGUGUAGAGGCAAGUGGAAUUUUUAGUGUAGCGGUGAAAUGCGUAGAUAUUAAAAAGAAUACCGGUGGCGAAGGCGACUUGCUGGGCACAAUCUGACGCUGAGGAACGAAAGCGUGGGGAGCAAACAGG